rnacentral:rRNA from 1 species
UCGAGAAUAAUUCGCAAUGGACGAAAGUCUGACGAUGCGACGCCGCGUGAACGAUGAAGGCCUUCGGGUUGUAACGUUCUGUUGCCCUGGAACAAGAGUGGUCGGCAAAUAGCUGGUCACGAUGAGCGUACAGGGAGAGGAAGCACCGGCUAAUUCCGUGCCAGCAGCUGCGGUAAUACGGAAGGUGCAAGCGUUAGUCGGAAUUACUGGGCGUAAAGGGUGCGUAGGCGGUGAUAUAAGUCGGAUGUGAAAUUCCAGAGCUCAACUCUGGAGCUGCAUUCGAAACUGUAUCACUCGAGGAAUGGCGGAGGAAAUGGAAUUCCAUAUGUAGCGGUGAAAUGCGUAGAUAUAUGGAAGAACACCUGUGGCGAAAGCGGUUUCCUAGCCUCCUCCUGACGCUGAGGCACGAAAGCAAGGGGAGCAAACA